UAUUUUUCAUGGGAUGACAUAGCAGCUUGAUUUUAUAAAGAAAGAGCUAAAAAUUUAGCUGGGCAACACAUCAGCAUGUUUAAAUUUGAGAGAUUUUCAUGGGUUGACACCUAGCAAACUAGUUUCUUAGGGGACGUUUGGUAGCAUGUCUAAUAGGAUUACAUGUAAUUUUGCAACAGGUAAUCAGAUUACACUGUUUGUAUCAUUAUUUUUACAGGUAAUACUGCAUUAUAUGUAAUGCAGGAUUACCUCAAAAAGAGGUAAUCUGAUUGCCUAGGGAGAGAUAGUUAUGUGAUUAUAUGUAAUCUUACAAUCCUGCAAUCUUGCAGUAAGAUAACUUCAGGACCAAAAUACCCCCAUCAAAAUAAAUUAUGGAUAGUCCCAGUUGGUAAAAAUAGAAAAGAAAACAUAAUGGGUGAUGUCACGAAAAAUGGUUGGUCUCAAAAUUAAGUUGUUCCUCUAGAAAAUAGACAAUAAUCAAUAAACAAGGAUGGGGGUAUUUUGAGAAAAUUUGCUUAAAUUUCAUAUAAUCUAAAUUGUAUACUAAAUACUACAAUGUAGGAUUUUCUGUAAGUUUAUAACAAUAUUACUGCACAUACCAAAUACUGCAAUAUAGGAUUUUCUGUAAUUUUAUCAAGUAAUCACAUUCUUUUUGUAAUCACAUUACCAUAGUAACAUUACCUAUGUAAUGCGCCAAAUGCCACCUUAAAUUAUUUACUUCCAACUUAGCCACCGGUUUCUCUUGUUUGCUCUUGUAGUUCUUUGGUAACAAAAGAAAGAAUAGAGAGGGAAAAGAGCUAGAGAAGGAUAAGUUUUGAGGGAAAUUCAGCAAGAAAAAGAGAUGUCAAAUUAGAGAACAGGGUUGCUGAAAUUUGUUGGCAGUUGGGAAAAGAAGAAAACAGUGAUGAUUUCAGUAGAGGUUUUGAUCUCUUAAGGUAAGAAUUUUAAUCCUUGCAUGUAAUUUAAGUGGACCCUAGAUAGUUACUUUCAGAUUUGAUAUUUUGACGAGUUAAAUUAUGAGUUUAAACUUAAAUUAGAAAGUGAAUUGUUGCUAUCAGAAUUUUAAUGAAACCAAUCUGAAAUUUCUGCAAAUAGUUUGUUAAAUGAGCUGAAUUUAAGUUGAAUUUUUAAUGACAAUUAUAAAGCUUGAUGUUCUGAUGAACUGGAAUAUAAAUCGUGAAUUUAAAGGGAAGAAUCAGUGCUAUUGAUGGUUUUAUCAAAAGCUAUUUAAACUGUUUUCAGCAAUUAAGUGGGAAUUGGUGUUGGUUGAGCUUAGAACAACUUAUGAAGACAGAAUACAGCUGAAUUACUGAAAAUUAUAAAGUUUAUGAUGAAGUUUAGUUAAUACUAAGUAGAGUAAAAACAAAUAGAAUAAAGUUAGAGCUAGAAGAAUUAAUGUUACUAUGGGUUUUAUUGAAAUCGGUUUGAAUUGUUUUAACAAUUAGAUGAAGAUGUAAUAGCUGAAUUUGGGAUAGACGAUGAAAGUGAAAAAUAGUCAAUUUGCUGGAAAUUCUUGAGUUAUGUUGAACCUUAGUUAACCCUAAAGCAGAGCAAAACAAGAUUAAGUAAAAGUAAGAACUAAAAGAGUUAAAGGUUAAGCAUAACGAAGCAAAGCAUGUUGUCUCAUACUCUUGUAUCAUGUUAGAAUGGCAUUAAUUAGUGUCUAUCAAUUGUAUGGACAAGAAAGAGAGCUUAAGAAGGGCUUUGGGAGAGUCAAGCAUCAAAGUAGUUCAAUAGUCAUUUGAGGUGAGUGGGUGUUCUAUCUAAUUGUGAUGUUUUUCUUAUGAUAUUUCUUAUGGAAGUAAUUGACUAAAGAGUAAGUUUAAUUUCUGUUAUUUUCAGCUUAACUUAUGUAUAUGCAAGCAUGGAAACAGAAAAUAAAUUAUAUUGAAAAGCUAUUCAAGAAUAUAUAUAGAUGUGUAUGUGUAUCAAGUUUGGACAGAUGAUUGUUUUGAUUUGAAAAUGCUUUUGAGCUAGCUUUUCGGCAUAUGUAAUUCAACUUUCCAGCAUAUUGACAUUAGCAUCUAGUAUAAGCAUCAGUAUUAGCAUUUCAUAUAACAUAAAAAUAGUCGUACCUCCUUACGAAACAGUAUCCCUGUGGGGGUCCAACAGUAUCAGAUGCUCCGUAUCGAUACUAUGGUAGGGGUGCGCUGUGGGAUAAUCGACGGUAAUCCAGCCGGCACCUCCUUGCAAAUAGUUAUGCCCAAUGGAGCCCAGCAGUAUCAGAUGCUCCGAAUCGACGAUCAUGAUAGGGGUGCGCUGUGGGAUAGUCGACAAUAGCCAGCAGCAGCAUGAUUCAUUACAUGGUUUCGUUAUUGAAUAGCAUAUCAGAAUUUUGAAAGUAUGUAGCAUAUCAGAAUUUUUGAAAGUAUGUCAGCAGUUUCAGCUCUAAAUAUUAUGUUAAAUAUUUAAACUAAGUUUUUCUGAUUUCUUAUUAUUAGAUAGUUUAUUCACUCAUUGGGACUUAGGUCUCACUCCCCCUCACUUCUUCAUUGCAGUUUUGGAGCAUCUCAGUCAGGUAUAGAUUACAAGUAUCAGCAUCCUUAUCAGUAUUAGUACUAGAAAAGCUUGGUCUUGUUAAUAAAUAUGAAGAGUAUGUUUUGUAAUAUUUGGUACAUUGAGUUGUUCGUGCUAGCUUAUGGAGGGAAUGUAUAUUGAAAUAUAUUAUGUGUGUGGAGUUAUGAAAGUUGUAGAUGUUAAAUGUGUUUUAUUUUUGAAUUGUAUGUACAAAGCUUAGUGUGAUAAAUAAAAUCUUGAGUUUAAUGUUGAGGAAUAAUGUGUUAAGAUUGAAUUGCUUGUGUUAGAAUAUUGAGAAGUUUAUUAAAUCACAUUUAUCAGCUCAGCUAUAGUUUAGUAAUUUCUUUCGCCCUUAGUUAAGGAUGGGUGUAACACUGUCAUCCGAUUUUAGGGGUGGGGUGUUACAUGUUUGAUAUCAGAGCAAAUGUUUAUGAUUAUUUGGAAGACAGAGCAAAGGUUUAGGAUCAUUUGGGAUUAUGAUUUAAGUGAAAGGAGAAAUUGGGUUUAUAGUUACUAGAGAUUGUGGUACAAAUGAUAUUAGAAACUAGUGAUUCAAUUAUAAGUAUUUCUUUAGAUCCUAGAAGAUAUAUUUUGAACAUAAGCUGGAUGGUUUUCGAAAAUUAAAAUACAUACUUUUGUGAUGCUAUGAAUUGUUAUGCAUAUCUUUGAGAUAAAUAAGAUUACAAGUUUUUCUACAGAUUGAGAUAUUAUGAUCUUAAUUAUAGCAAGUUAUGCCAGACGAACAAGGUUUAAUAGUAGCUUGUGAUCUCGGGCACAAGAUGCUAGCGGACUUCUGCUCGGCUGUCAUACCCCUGCUCAAUUUAGGGAAUGGAUAUUUUGGCUAAUAAGUAUAAGUUGAGUAAGUAUAUUUAUAUUGCUGAUAGUUUUUGAGAUAAAUGAAAUAGGUGAAUUUUUAUAUUCACCGCUUAUGUUGAAUAUUGAUUUCCAAUUAGUGAGUAGUGGAUUGUAAUUCAUAAGUUAUGUGAAGAGUUCUUGUAUAAGAUGGUAUGAGGAGCAAUCCUAAAAAAAAAAAGAAGAACAAUUAAUUGUACGAGUAUCAAAUCAUUUAGUGAAUCUUAUUUUUGCUAGAGAUGAUUUUAUAGCGAUGACUAAUUUGGAAUGUUAAUUGCAGAUCAUGAAAAUAAUCGACAUAUCUUUAAAGAUUAUCUUAGUCGAGAUCACAAGGAAGUUGGGACUUCUAGAUCCAGUCUAUAGAGCGGAGGUAAAUGAGGGACGAUAUGUUAAAUCUUAUGUGGAAGUAACCAUUAAUAGAGAAGAGCAAACAUAUGAGACUUUUAGGUCAAUGGGUCCUUCGGGUGUAGAGCCGUUGAGAUCGGAAGAGCAGGCGGCGAUUUAUGCUCGCAAUAAUUUAAAACAUCAUUUUCAGUUUGAAGUGCGAGAUGUUAAUUUUGAGGAUAUGGAAGAGCAUAAAUAUUCCUUUUGAAGAGUAAGAGCAAAAUAUAAUGCUGCAAAUGCGGAACUUCAACAGCUGAGAUGGGAAUAUCAAAGACUGAGUGACCUAAAUAGAAGAUAUAUUGAUGAAUGUUCUACCUUGGGACGGCAAGUAAGAAGAUUAAGAGAGGGACUUUCUUCCAAUACUGAAUCAUCCUCUGGAGAAAAUUGAGGUUGAGGAGGAGAUAAGAAAGGUAUGAUUACUAUUGUUCAAAAUAAAUUUAUGCACACUUAAUGAUUGAAAAUAUUUUAAUUUGAGUUUAUUUGAGUGCUAGCCUAAAUUGAAAGAUUCAAAGUGGUAUUUAUACAUUUAUGAAAUAGUAUAAUUGUGUUUGUUGUUAUAAAAAGGUUGGCGUGUCGACUGAAUAAUAAGUUAUAAUUAUGAUGGUUAAGAGAAAAAGAUUAUAGUGAAAUAAAUGCUAAAAUAAUCAAGAUGAUUUGGAAGAAUGUUUAAGAUUGAUUAAGAGAAGGGGGUGGUUCUUGAGCCUGCUCGAUUUCUCUUGAAGUCGACCCAUUUUUUCUUCGAAUUGACUCGAAAGUAUUUUGGAGUCGACUUGAUCACAGGCCACAGAAUUUGAUCUUCUGUUCUCUGUGGUGGAGUCGACUUAAUUUGGUGUUGAACCGACUCGAUGUCGUGUCAGACCUAUGUGCCAGCUUUCAAAAUUGUGCCGGAGCCGACUCCAUUCUAUUUUGAGUCGAUUUUAAUUCUUCAAGCAAUCUUUUUAUAUAGAAUUUGUCUUCAAUUCAGGUCUAAUUUGUUCAAGAUGUUCCUAAUUGGUUUCAAUCUCAUUUUCAUUGUACUUUCAUCUACAAAAAGCAUUUUUAAGAAUAAUUUGAAGGAUAAUAGUAUAUUCUUAUAUUUUAAUGUUGGGUUGUUAUCAAAAUUAUUCUUGAAGUCAGCAAAUUUAACUAUUGCAAUUACAUUUUGGAGGAAGAUGAUACCGUGGUACAGAUAAUAUCAGGAUUUGAUUGAGAACAGCCACCAGUAGAAGGUAGAGAUUAAAAACAUGAACUAGUGUAAAGAAGAAAAAUAAUUGUGUUCUUGGAGUUAUACUAUUAGUUAAAGUUUUAUGAUAGAAUCACAGUACAAAAGAAGUUAUAUGGGAAAAAAAUAAAAUGAAAAUAAAUUUUUCUAGUUGUUCUAGACUAAAAGUAACUGAAUUUUGAGGAUGAAAUUCUUUGGAGGGGAGAGUUGUAACACCCCGAACCGAGGAUGUGGUAGUUUGAGAGAUUUGCAUUUCAUAUUAAUAUUUACUCAAAUGUGACAUGGUUUAUCAUUCCUAAUAUAUCUAAGUAUUGAAUGAGUAGUUGGUUAGUGGUAAUAAAGCAUAACUUUAAUUGUUAGUUGAGAAAAAAAAUGGUUGAGGAAUUUGAUUAAUAAUAAUGGCAUUAAAGUUAAAUUUUGAUGGUUAUUGAGCAUAGAAUGAAUGAUUUUUGGAAUGAUUCUUUAGAUAAUAUUGGUGUGGGUGGCAACUUGGAAGUAUAAAUUCAUGAUUUAAAGCAAAAUUCUAAUACCUAGGGGAUGGAGUCGACUCGAGCUUAGGGAGUCGACUCGAGCCGUGGGAAAAGCUAAGAGACGGGAUUCAGCUGAAGUGUUUUAACUUGAAAUUUAAAAGGUAUUUUCCAUGGGAUGACUUAGCAACUUGAUUAUAUAAAGAAAGAGAUAAAAAUUUAGCUGGGCAACACAUCAGCAUGUUUAAAUUUGAAGGAUUUCCAUGGGUUGACACCUAGCAAACUAGUUUCUUAAAUUAUUCACUUCCAACUUAGCCACCGGUUCCUCUUGUUUGCUGUUAUGGUUCUUUGGUAACAAAAGAAAGAAUAGAGAGGAAAAAGAGCUGGAGAAGGAUAAGUUUUGAGGGAAAUUCAACAAGAAAAAGAGAUGUCAAAUUAGAGAAGAGGGUUGCUGAAAUUUGUUGGCAGCUGGAAAUGGAAGAAAACAGUGAUGAUUUCAGCAGAAGUUUUGAUCUCUUAAGGUAAGAAUUUUAAUCUUUGCAUAUAAUUUAAGUGGAACCCUAAAUAGUUACUUUCAGAUUUGAUGUUUUGAUGAGUUAAAUUAUGAGUUUAAACUUAAAUUAGAAAGUGAAUUGCUGCUGCCAAAAUUUUAAUGAAACCAGUCUGAAAUUUCAGCAAAUAGGUUGUUAAAUGAGCUGAAUUUAAGUUGAAUUUUUAAUGACAAUUAUAAGGCUUGAUGUUCUGAUGAAUUGAAAUAUAAAUCAUGAAUUUAAAGGGAAGAAUCAGUGCUACUGCUGGUUUUAUCAAAAGCUAUUUAAAUUGUUUUCAGCAAUUAAGUUAGAAUUGGUGUUGGUUGAGCUUAGAACAACUUAUGAAGACAGAAUACAUCUGAAUUACUGGAAAUUGUAAAGUUUAUGAUGAAGUUUAGUUAAUCCUAAGUAGAGCAAAAAUAAAUAGAAUAAAGUUAGAGGUAGAAGAAUUAAUGUUGCUAUGGGUUUUAUUGAAAUCAGUUUGAAUUGUUUUAACAAUUAGAUGAAGAUGUAUUAGCUGAAUUUGGGAUAGAUGAUGAAAGUGAAAAAUAGUCAAUUUGUUGGAAAUUCUUGAGUUAUGAUGAACCUUAGUUAACUCUAAAGCAAGGCAAAACAAGAUUAAGUAAAAGUAAGAACUAAAAGAGCUAAAGGUUAAGCAUAACGAAGCAAAGCAUGUAGUCUCAUACUCUUGUAUCAUGUUAGAAUGGCAUUAAUUAGUGUGUAUCAACUUUAUAGGACAAGAAAGAGAGCUUAAGGAGAGCUUUGGGAGAGUCAAGCAUAAAAAUAGUUCAAUAGUCAUUUGAGGUGAGUGGAUUUUCUAUCUAAUUGUGGUGUUUUCCUUAUGAUAUUUGUUAUGAAAGUAAUUGAUUAAAGAAUAAGUUUAAUUUUUGUUAUUUUUCAGUUUAACUUAUGUAUAUGCAAGCAUGGAAAUAGGAAAUAAAUCAUAUUGAAAAGCUAUUCAAGAAUAUAUAUAGAUAUGUACGUGUAUCCAGUUUGGAUAGAUGAUUGUUUUGAUUUGAAAAUGCUUUUGAACCAGCUUUUCUGUAUAUGUAAUUCAGUUUUCCAGUAUAUUGACGUUAGCAUCCAGCAUAAGCAUCAGUAUUAGCAUUUCAUAUAGCAUAAAAACAGUCGAUACCUCCUUGCGAAACAGUAUGUCCGUUGGGGUCCAAUAGUAUCAGAUGCUCCAUACUAUCAUGGUAGGUGUGCGCAGUAGAAUAGUCAACGGUAGCCCAGCCGACAUCUCCUUGCGAACAGUUAUGUCCAAUGGGGUCCAGCAAUAUAAGAUGUUCCGUAUCAAGUACCAUGAUAGGGGUGCGUUGUGGGAUAGUCAACGGUAACCAGCAGCAGCAUGAUUCAUUACAUGGUUUCAUUCUUGAAUGGCAUAUCAGAAUUUUGAAAGUAUGUAGCAUAUCAGAAUUUUUGAAAGUAUGUCAGCAAUUUCAGUUCUAAAUGUUAUGUUAAAUAUUUAAACUAAGCUUUUCUGGUUCUCCAUUAUUAGAUGGUUUAUUCACUUAUUGGGUCUUAGAUCUCACUCCCUCUCACUUCUUCUUCAUUGCAAUUUUGGAUCAUCUCAACCAGGUAUAGAUUACAAGUAUCAGCAUCCUUAUCAGUAUUAGUACCAGAAAAGUUUGAUCCUGUUAAUAAAUAUGAAGAGUAUGUUCUGUAAUGUUUGGUAUGUUGAGUUGUUCAUGCUAGCUUGUUGAGGAAAUGUAUAUUGAAAUGUAUUAUGUGUGUGGAGUUAUGAAAGUUGUAGUUGUUAAAUGUGUUUUAUCUUUGAAUUGUAUGUACAAAGCUUAGUGUGAUAAAUGAAUUCUUGAGUUUAAUGUUGAGGAAUGAUGUGUUAAGGUUGAAUUGCUUGUAUUAGAAUAUUGAGAAGUUUAUUGAAUCAUAUUUAUCAGCUCAGCUAUAGUUUAGUAAUUUUCUUCACCCUUAGUUAAAGGUGGGGUGUAGCACCGUCGUUCGAUUUUAGGUGUAGGGUGUUACACCAGCAGCCACUCCGUUAGCUUCCACUCUCUUCUUUUCUUUUCCUUCCUCUCUCUCUCUCUCGGCCGAGAUUUGACGGAGGUAGCGAAGGCCUUGGCGACCCUUCGAGUGUGCCCACAGCCCCCCUGUGGCCACUGCCGGCAUCUCUUCUAGCCACCUUCUCCCUCCCUCUUCUCCCUCCUCGUCUCCUCUUUCUCUCUUUUCCUCCUCCUUGGUUCUCUUCUCUUCAAUAUUAGUUCAUGCCGAUCUGAUCCGGUACAGACCUAUACCGACUCGUACUGUCGGUCGGCCGGCACGGAUCUCGAUUCUGGUUCCGUAGUCAUUGCUUUGGUGUAUGUACCACCUACAAGCUCUUCAAAUAUGACAUCUAGCAUAUCUUGGUGAAAAAAUAAUAAAUUUAUUUAUCAAUGGUAUUCUUGAAGUUAGGGCUAAAUCACACACAAACUUAAUAGAGCAAAUUUCCAACUUUUUUUAUUAGCAUUUAUUUUUCAAUUCUAGCAGGGUGACCAAACCAUGCCAAAUCGGUUGGUUUGGGAUAUAUUGAACCAAAUCAGCACAAUUCGGCCUUUAAAUGCGAGUCGGUCGUCUAAGCUUUAUUAAUCCCACAUUCAACCUGGUUGUCUCUCCCUCCCUCCCUCCUUUCUCUAGUGCAUGCUUGACUUAGG
rnacentral:lncRNA from 1 species